rnacentral:sRNA from 13 species
GCUGGGUGUGGUGGCGCACACCUGUAGUCCCAGCUACUCAGGAGGCUGAGGCAGGAGAAUUGCUUGAACCCAGGAGGUGGAGUUUGCAGUGAGCUGAGAUCACGCCAUUGUACUCCAGCCUGAGUGACGGAGCAAGACUCUGUCUCAA